rnacentral:lncRNA from 1 species
AAGUUCUUUUAAGUUUAGUAUGUUUAAAGCCAUUUAUAUUUGAUCUUUAUCUAUUAAUUAUAUACCAAAUUUAUUUUUAUCUUUUUAUAGGAACUAGGAUUACGACCCGCCGCAAUGCGGCGGAGAUUCUUUAGUUAUAUACUAAACGAUGUAAAACGUUCUCCCACACACGCAUGUUGUUAAACGUGUCAAACGGGGAAAAAAU